rnacentral:rRNA from 1 species
CAGCCGCCGCGGUAAUACGGAGGGUGCAAGCGUUAAUCGGAAUUACUGGGCGUAAAGCGCACGCAGGCGGUCUGACAAGUCAGAUGUGAAAUCCCCGGGCUUAACCUGGGAACUGCAUUUGAAACUGUCAGGCUGGAGUCUUGUAGAGGGGGGUAGAAUUCCAGGUGUAGCGGUGAAAUGCGUAGAGAUCUGGAGGAAUACCGGUGGCGAAGGCGGCCCCCUGGACAAAGACUGACGCUCAGGUGCGAAAGCGUGGGGAGCAAACAGGAUUAGAUACCCGGGUAGUCCCUGUCUCUUAUAC